GACGAACGCUGGCGGCGCGCUUAACACAUGCAAGUCGAGCGAAGCGGCGGACGGGUGAGUCACACGUAAGUAACCUGCCUUAGACAUUGGGCUAGCCUCGGGAAACCGUGAUUAAUACCAAAUGGUCUAAGAUGGACUCGCGUCCCAUUAGCUAGUAGGUGAGGUAACGGCCCACCAAGGCGACGCUGGGUAGCCGGCCGUGGAGGGUGAACGGGCACAUUGGAACUGAGAACCGGUCCAAAGUCUACGGGAGGAAGCAGUGGGGAAUAUUGCACAAUGGAGGGAACUAUGAUGUAGCGACGCCGCGUGGACGAAUAAGUAUUUCGAGUCGUAAAGUUCUUUUAAAUGGGAAGCGGUACCAUAAGAAAAAGCCCCGGCUAACUACGUGCCAGCAGCCGCGGUAAUAC
rnacentral:rRNA from 1 species